rnacentral:rRNA from 1 species
AGUGAACGCUGGCGGUAGGCCUAACACAUGCAAGUCGAACGGCAGCACAGUAAGAGCUUGCUCUUACGGGUGGCGGGUGGCGGACGGGUGAGGAAUACAUCGGAAUCUACUUUUUCGUGGGGGAUAACGUAGGGAAACUUACGCUAAUACCGCAUACGACCUACGGGUGAAAGCAGGGGAUCUUCGGACCUUGCGCGAUUGAAUGAGCCGAUGUCGGAUUAGCUAGUUGGCGGGGUAAAGGCCCACCAAGGCGACGAUCCGUAGCUGGUCUGAGAGGAUGAUGAGCCAAACUGGAACUGAGAAACGGUCCAGACUCCUAAGGGAGGCAGCAGUGGGGAAUAUUGGACAAUGGGCGCAAGCCUGAUCCAGCCAUACCGCGUGGGUGAAGAAGGCCUUCGGGUUGUAAAGCCCUUUUGUUGGGAAAGAAAAGCAGCAGGUUAAUACCCCGCUGUUCUGACGGUACCCAAAGAAUAAGCACCGGCUAACUUCGUG